GGAUGGAAACCAUGGGUAAGCAGGAGA
rnacentral:piRNA from 1 species